rnacentral:rRNA from 1 species
GAAUGGCCGUUUGUGCUGGCAGGUUUACUUUGAAAAAAUUAUAGUGCUCAAAGCAAGCUCUCACGCUUGAAUAUUCUUGCAUGGAGUAAUAGAAUAGGAUGUCGUUUCUAUUUUGUUGGUUUUCUGAAAUCAACAUAAUGAUUAUUAGGGACAGUCGGGGGCGUUUGUAUUCAAACGACAGAGGUGAAGUUCUUGGAGCGUUUGAAGACAAACUACUGCGAAAGCAUUUGCCAAGAAUGUUUUCAUUAUUCAAGAACAAAAGUUAUAGGAUCGAAGGAGGUUAGCUACCGCCCUACUUCCAACAACAAAAAAUGAUAUCUACUGGCCUGUAGCCGUUUUUUUUUAUGACGCUCCAGCGAGCUUCUGGCAAAAAAAAGAUUGUGGUCUUCAUUUUAAGUACUAUGGCUACGAAGAUCCCUAAUUAGCUUCUUUUAUGCUCUAAAUCCCUUAAGCGAUUCCUCUCCGCUUUCCCUUUCACACCCUCCUUUUUAUAGCCUUUUUCCACCCAUUUUUCCCCUGGGACGUCUAUAUUAUCCUCAAAAAGCUAGGUAGAAGGAUGGAAACUUUAUUACUGUGAUGAUUUGCCUCGUUUGCAACUGGUAAAAACCAGGCCAAACCCUAACUCCUCCUACCCUUCGUCUUUUUUUUAGACAAAAAAUAAUUAAUUUGAAAAUCGUUUUAAUAUUCUAUUUUAUAAAAAUCUUAUCAAUUUCUCCUUUUCCUUAAGGAUUUCUUGCUCCCCCCCCCCCAAAUAAUCCUAAUACCAUCUUCAACUCCUCCAAAACAAAAGGACCUCUUUACACCCCUUUUCUCGGCUAGGAAUAUCCACGCGGCGGAUAUGCUUUCUUUGGGGAAUCCAUUAAUAUUUUUUUUAAAAAGAAAAAACUUUUGAAAAUACUGGGGGAACAAUCUCGCGCCAAGAGACCCUCUCGCUAAACUACCCUCGCAAAAAAAAAAAACAGAAAAAUAAAACAGCGUUUAUAGAAGAAAGGUAUCUCCCGACUCUUUUUUUCUUCCGCGUGCCGCUAUACACCCAUUCCUCUAUACACCCGUUUUUUUUACCCCCCCCCCCCUUUUUUUAUUUUUAACCGCCCAUUGGGGGGGGGGGGGGUGGGUUGUUUGCCCUGGCGUGGCGGGGGGUUCCUCCCCCUUGAUACGCAAGU